rnacentral:rRNA from 1 species
AUGGCAGGAGAGAGAGGAGCUGCUCCUAGUACAGGACGCCAUGGAAGGUGCUGCUCUGAUGAGGAGAAACUGCUGCUGCAGGACGCCCUCCUCCCCUCCUCCUACCCCCACACGUGUUACUCGCACAACCCACUUCGCAUUUCAGACGAUUGGAGGAGAAGACGAGGGGAGAAGGCGACGACGCAGGCGGAAGAGUCAAUGGCGUUCGCGGCUGUCGGUGGUUUUCGCCGGACCGGAGCGGCUUCGCCGGAGCGCCUACAGAUUGAAGAAUGGCUCGCAGCGAUCAUCAAAACGAUGAUGAUGAUUUCAUGGAUUCACCACAGCAGAAUCAGGCAACUGGACGGAGAAAAGAGGGCGACGAGAAAAAGAAACGUACUCGCAACAGGGCCUCCUAGGAACGACUGA